UACGAAGGGGGCUAGCGUUGCUCGGAAUCACUGGGCGUAAAGGGUGCGUAGGCGGGUUUUUAAGUCAGAGGUGAAAUCCUGGAGCUCAACUCCAGAACUGCCUUUGAUACUGAAAGUCUUGAGUAUGGGAGAGGUGAGUGGAACUGCGAGUGUAGAGGUGAAAUUCGUAGAUAUUCGCAAGAACACCAGUGGCGAAGGCGGCUCACUGGCUCGACACUGACGCUGAGGUGCGAAAGCGUGGGGAGCAAACAGG
rnacentral:rRNA from 1 species